rnacentral:rRNA from 1 species
CAGCUCUUCAAGUAGUCGGGAUGAUUAUUGGGCCUAAAGCAUCCGUAGCCGGCCCGGCAAAUCUUUGGUUAAAUCCGCCCUCUCAAGGGGCGGGCUGCUAGAGUGACUACCGGGCUUGGAGGCGGGAGAGGCACGGGGUACUACAGGGGUAGGGGUGGAAUCCUAUCAUCCCUGUGGGACCACCAGUGGCGAAGGCGCCGUGCUGGAACGCGCUCGACGGUGAGGGAUGAAACCCAGGGGAGCGAACCGGAUUAGAUACCCGAGUAGUCC